rnacentral:rRNA from 1 species
GACGAACGCUGGCGGCGUGCUUAACACAUGCAAGUCGAACGGAAAGGCCCUGCUUUUGUGGGGUGCUCGAGUGGCGAACGGGUGAGUAACACGUGAGUAACCUGCCCUUGACUUUGGGAUAACUUCAGGAAACUGGGGCUAAUACCGGAUAGGAGCUCCUGCUGCAUGGUGGGGGUUGGAAAGUUUCGGCGGUUGGGGAUGGACUCGCGGCUUAUCAGAUUGUUGGUGGGGUAGUGUCUUACCAAGGCUUUGACGGGUAGCCGGCCUGAGAGGGUGACCGGCCACAUUGGGACUGAGAUGCGGCCCAGACUCCUACGGGAGGCAGCAGUGGGGAAUAGUGCACAAUGGGCGGAAGCCUGAUGCAGCCACGCCGCGUGCGGGAUGACGGCCUUCGGUUUGUAAUCCGCUUUCGCCUGUGACGAAGUGUGAGUGACGGUAAUGGGUAAAGAAGCACCGGCUAACUACGUG